rnacentral:rRNA from 1 species
GACGAACGCUGGCGGCGUGCUUAACACAUGCAAGUCGAACGGAAAGGCCCUGCUUUUGUGGGGUGCUCGAGUGGCGAACGGGUGAGUAACACGUGAGUAACCUGCCCUUGACUUUGGGAUAACUUCAGGAAACUGGUGCUAAUACCGGAUAGGAGCUCCUGCUGCAUGGUGGGGGUUGGAAAGUUUCGGCGGUUGGGGAUGGACUCGCGGCUUAUGAGCUUGUUGGUGGGGUAGUGGCUUACCCAGGCUUUGACGGGUAGCCGGCCUGAGAGGGUGACCGGCCACCUUGGGACUGAGAUACGGCCCAGACUCCUACGGGAGGCAGCAGUGGGGAAUAUUGCACAAUGGGCGGAAGCCUGAUGCAGCAACGCCGCGUGCGGGAUGACGGCCUUCGGGUUGUAAACCGCUUUCGCCUGUGACGAAGCGUGAGUGACGGUAAUGGGUAAAGAAGCACCGGCUAACUACGUG